AGUGGGGAAUAUUGCACAAUGGGCGCAAGCCUGAUGCAGCCAUGCCGCGUGUGUGAAGAAGGCCUUAUGGUUGUAAAGCACUUUCAGUCGUGAGGAAAGGUGUGUGCUUAAUACGUACAUACUGUGACGUUAGCGACAGAAGAAGGACCGGCUAACUCCGUGCCAGCAGCCGCGGUAAUACGGAGGGUCCGAGCGUUAAUCGGAAUUACUGGGCGUAAAGCGCGCGUAGGUGGAUUGGUCAGUCAGAUGUGAAAGCCCAGGGCUCAACCUUGGAACUGCAUCUGAUACUGCUAGUCUAGAAUACGGUAGAGGGUAGUGGAAUUUCCUGUGUAGCGGUGAAAUGCGUAGAUAUAGGAAGGAACACCAGUGGCGAAGGCGACUACCUGGACCGAUAUUGACACUGAGGUGCGAAAGCGUGGGGAGCAAACAGGAUUAGAUACCCUGGUAGUCCACGCCGUAAACGAUGUCUACUAGCCGUUGGAAGACUUGAUCUUUUAGUGGCGAAGCUAACGCGAUAAGUAGACCGCCUGGGGAGUACGGCCGCAAGGUUAAAACUCAAAUGAAUUGACGGGGGCCCGCACAAGCGGUGGAGCAUGUGGUUUAAUUCGACGCAACGCGAAGAACCUUACCAACUCUUGACAUCCAGAGAAGAGGCUAGAGAUAGCUUUGUGCCUUCGGGAACUCUGAGACAGGUGCUGCAUGGCUGUCGUCAGCUCGUGUUGUGAAAUGUUGGGUUAAGUCCCGUAACGAGCGCAACCCUUGUCCUUAUUUGCCAGCACGUAAUGGUGGGAACUCUAAGGAGACUGCCGGUGACAAACCGGAGGAAGGUGGGGACGACGUCAAGUCAUCAUGGCCCUUACGAGUUGGGCUACACACGUGCUACAAUGGCCGGUACAGAGGGCUGCAAACCUGCGAAGGUAAGCUAAUCUCACAAAACCGGUCGUAGUCCGGAUUGGAGUCUGCAACUCGACUCCAUGAAGUCGGAAUCGCUAGUAAUCGUGGAUCAGAAUGCCACGGUGAAUACGU
rnacentral:rRNA from 1 species